CCUAACCCUUUCCCAGACUACAAGCUAUUAGCUGCUUUUAUGACCUUGUUUUGGCACUAACAAAGCUGCUAGAUUAUUCAUAAGCAAGAAGAUCAGAUGAGUUGUGUGAAUUCUAACAGCUGAUCUGAAAAUGCUACAGCUUUUUAAGCUCUGUAAGGAUGGGAGGGUUAUCUUAAGAGGCCUGUCAGUGUAGAUUACUGUCUGUGUUACAGUGAUGCUUGAAUGCCUCUAACAAGGUAUUCCUGUGCUGAGCUGAGUGAGACACCCUCCACGUAUUGCAGAUCUUGCCAUGCAAACAGUCGAGAUAACUUCUUACCCUAUCUUGGAGGUGAGGGGAGCUGCAGAGGCACUAAGUCUGGAGAGGCUUUACAGCCAGCUGGGUAACGCUUGCCUUCCAGUGACAGCGUGGCCAGCUGCCAAUUUAUUUAUCCAGCGUGUAUGUGGUGCUUAUCUUCAGUUUGGGAUGAGGUCCUGGUACCCUGAGGAGCUCACCUAUGUUAAAGAUGACCAUGUGCUGCAGGACUUUGGGACUGAAUUUCUCAGCUCCUGCAGUGUCACGACAGAACACGUCAGCACCAAGGUACUGUGCAGCCUGACUCUCUGAACUGCAUCACCCAUUUGUCACUGAAUCCCUCUGUACCAACACUUAGAGCUGAAGUUUAACACGCUGACCUCCAGUUGAUCUCAAGAAUGAUAUUAUCCUAUCCAUUUCCUAGAAAAUUACAGUUCUUUGCAGAAAUGCAUUAAACUAUCAGGUCUUGCUUAUUAGGGAUUUCUCAUAGGGCUUUUAACUCCAAAUGAGCUUUGAGACCAACUAAAUCUCUGAAGCUGUAGUUUCCCUCACUGCUAGAAAUAAAAAGUGUA